ACGCUGGCGGCACGCUUAACACAUGCAAGUCGAACGAAGUAGCAAUACUUAGUGGCAGACGGGUGAGUAUAAUGUGGGAAUCUGCCUUUUGGUUUGGAAUAACUCGGGGAAACUUGAGCUAAUACCGGAUAAGCCCUUACGGGGAAAGCUUUAGCGCCAAAAGAUGAGCCCGCACUUGAUUAGCUUGUUGGUGAGGUAAUGGCUCACCAAGGCAAUGAUCAAUAGCUGUUCUUAGAGGAAGACCAGCCACAUUGGGACUGAGACACGGCCCAGACUCCUACGGGAGGCAGCAGUGGGGAAUCUUGCACAAUGGGGGAAACCCUGAUGCAGCGAUGCCGCGUGAGUGAAGAAGGCCUUUGGGUUGUAAAACUCUUUCGUCGGGGAAGAAAAUGACUGUACCCGAAUAAGAAGGUCCGGCUAACUUCGUGCCAGCAGCCGCGGUAAUACGAAGGGACCUAGCGUAGUUCGGAAUUACUGGGCUUAAAGAGCUCGUAGGUGGUUAAAAAAGUUGGUGGUGAAAUCCCAAGGCUUAACCUUGGAACUGCCAUCAAAACUUUUUAGCUAGAGUGUGAUAGAGGAAAGUGGAAUUUCUAGUGUAGAGGUGAAAUUCGUAGAUAUUAGAAAGAACACCAAAAGCGAAGGCAACUUUCUGGGUCACUACUGACACUGAGGAGCGAAAGCAUGGGUAGCGAAGAGGAUUAGAUACCCUCGUAGUCCAUGCUGUAAACGAUGUGUGCUAGACGUUGGGAAUAUAUUUUUCAGUGUCGCAGCGAAAGCAUUAAGCACACCGCCUGGGGAGUACGACCGC
rnacentral:rRNA from 1 species